GGCGAAAAGAAGUCGAGCAGCUCAAAGAUCUUGGCAAAGAAACUGCCGGAAACAUCAGCUCUCCAGUCCUUAUCAAAACAGUCUGACCUGGAGACUGUUGUCAAAACUUUGGCUCCUGCCCUGCUGGCUCAGCUAGUCAAGAUGAAGUAGUCCCCAUCAACAUCAUCAUCAUCGUCCUCACGUUCUGCAUCUCCAGAAACAACUAAAGGGACGCCUAGCACAGAGAAGACAAAGGCUGGUAAAUCUUCCCCUCCGACCAUGGUGAGGCUACAAGGGACUGAAGCUGCGGUGGCACCUAAAAAUACAGCCAAGGCUACGGAGGCUGUUGAACCAAUUAAAGGUGCUGCAGUUGACGACUCUGUGACUGCAGAGAAGAUCUCAAAGGAUCAGCCGGUCGCUGUUACCCACCCAACAUUUUGGGAGCGGAUACAAGAGCAACUGAGUCCAGAAAGAAUCCGU